CCCUUAGAUGUUCUGGGCCGCACGCGCGCUACACUGAUGCAUUCAACGAGUCUAAAACCUGGUCUGAUAGGGCUGGGUAAUCUUUUGAAAGUGCAUCGUGAUUGGGAUAGAUGAUUGCAAUUCUUCAUCUUCAACGAGGAAUGCCUAGUAAACGCAAGUCAUCAGCUUGCAUUGAUUACGUCCCUGCCCUUUGUACACACCGCCCGUCGCUCCUACCGAUUGAAUGAUCCGAUGAAUACCAUGGAUUGAGAGUACGAAUAGGUUCGCUUAUUUCUGCUGCUCGAGAAGUGGAGUAAAUCUUAUCAUUUAGAGGAAGGUGAAGUCGUAACA
rnacentral:rRNA from 1 species